rnacentral:rRNA from 1 species
UACGGAGGGUGCAAGCGUUAAUCGGAAUUACUGGGCGUAAAGCGCGUGUAGGCGGCCUGCUAAGUCUGAUGUGAAAGCCCGGGGCUCACCCCCGGAAGUGCAUUGGAAACUGGUAGGCUUGAGUCCCGGAGAGGAGGGUGGAAUUCCUGGUGUAGCGGUGAAAUGCGUAGAUAUCAGGAGGAACACCGGUGGCGAAGGCGGCCCUCUGGACGGUGACUGACGCUGAGACGCGAAAGCGUGGGGAGCAAACAGG